rnacentral:rRNA from 1 species
UCCAUGCCGUAAACGAUGUCUACUAGCCGUUGGGGCCUUUGAGGCUUUAGUGGCGCAGCUAACGCGAUAAGUAGACCGCCUGGGGAGUACGGUCGCAAGACUAAAACUCAAAUGAAUUGACGGGGGCCCGCACAAGCGGUGGAGCAUGUGGUUUAAUUCGAUGCAACGCGAAGAACCUUACCUGGCCUUGACAUACUAGAAACUUUCCAGAGAUGGAUUGGUGCCUUCGGGAAUCUAGAUACAGGUGCUGCAUGGCUGUCGUCAGCUCGUGUCGUGAGAUGUUGGGUUAAGUCCCGCAACGAGCGCAACCCUUUUCUACUUGCCAGCAUUUCGGAUGGGAACUUUAGGAUACUGCCAGUGACAAACUGGAGAAGGCGGGACGACGUCAAGUCAUCAUGGCCCUUACGGCCAGGGCUACACACGUGCUACAAUGGUCGGUACAAAGGGUUGCUACACAGCGAUGUGAUGCUAAUCUCAAAAA